UGCAGUCGACGGUAAGGUCUCUUCGGAGAUACACGAGUGGCGCACGGGUGCGUAACGCGUAUGCAACCUACCUUUAACUGGGAGAUAGCCCCGAGAAAUCGGGAUUAAUACCCCAUAACAUCCAGAUAACGCCUGUUUUUUGGAUUAAAGCUCCGGCGGUUAAAGAUGGGCAUGCGUGACAUUAGCUAGUUGGUGAGGUAACGGCUCACCAAGGCAACGAUGUCUAGGGGUCCUGAGAGGGUAAUCCCCCACACUGGUACUGAGACACGGACCAGACUCCUACGGGAGGCAGCAGUAAGGAAUAUUGGGCAAUGGACGCAAGUCUGACCCAGCCAUGCCGCGUGCAGGAUGACUGCCCUAUGGGUUGUAAACUGCUUUUAUACGGGAAAAACCCCCUGCACGAGAUGCGGGGCUGAUGGUACCGUAUGAAUAAGCAUCGGCUAACUCCGUGCCAGCAGCCGCGGUAAUACGGAGGAUGCAAGCGUUAUCCGGAUUCAUUGGGUUUAAAGGGUGGGCAGGCGGAAUGAUAAGUCAGUGGUGAAAUCUCCCGGCUCAACCCGGGAAACUGCCAUUGAUACUGUCGUUCUUGAGUACAGUUGAAGUGGGCGGAAUGUGUCAUGUAGCGGUGAAAUGCAUAGAUAUGACACAGAACACCGAUAGCGAAGGCAGCUCACUAAGCUGUAACUGACGCUCAUGCACGAAAGCGUGGGGAUCAAACAGGAUUAGAUACCCUGGUAGUCCACGCUGUAAACGAUGAUCACUCGUUGUUGGCGAUAUACUGUCAGCGACUGAGCGAAAGCAUUAAGUGAUCCACCUGGGGAGUACGGCGGCAACGUUGAAACUCAAAGGAAUUGACGGGGGCCCGCACAAGCGGAGGAGCAUGUGGUUUAAUUCGAUGAUACGCGAGGAACCUUACCUGGGCUUAAUUGUAAAGUGUCAGUCCCCGAAAGGGGAUCUUUCUUCCGGACGCUUUACAAGUGGCUGCAUGGUUGUCGUCACGUCGUGCUGAGAGGUGUCGGGUUAAGUCCCGCGACGAGCGCAACCCUUAAUCUAAGUUGCCAGCAUAUUAUGGUGGGGACUCUAAGAAGACUGCCUGCGCAAGCAGAGAGGAAGGAGGGGAUGACGUCAAAUCAUCAUGGCCCUUACGCCCAGGGCUACACACGUGCUACAAUGGCCGGUACAGAGGGUCGCUACCUGGUGACAGGAUGCUAAUCUCAAAAACCGGUCUCAGUUCGGAUCGAAGUCUGCAACUCGACUUCGUGAAGUUGGAUUCGCUAGUAAUCGGAUAUCAGCAAUGAUCCGGUGAAUACGUUCCCGGGCCUUGUACACACCGCCCGUCAAGCCAUGGAAGCUGGGGGUACCUGAAGUCCGUGACCGCAAGGAGCGGCCUA
rnacentral:rRNA from 1 species